rnacentral:rRNA from 1 species
CCAUGGUCAGGUUGAAGUUCAGGUAACACUGAAUGGAGGACCGAACCGACUUACGUUGAAAAGUGAGCGGAUGAACUGUGGGUAGCGGAGAAAUUCCAAUCGAACUUGGAGAUAGCUGGUUCUCUCCGAAAUAGCUUUAGGGCUAGCCUCAAGUGAUGAUUAUUGGAGGUAGAGCACUGUUUGGACGAGGGGCCCCUCUCGGGUUACCGAAUUCAGACAAACUCCGAAUGCCAAUUAAUUUAACUUGGGAGUCAGAACAUGGGUGAUAAGGUCCGUGUUCGAAAGGGAAACAGCCCAGACCACCAGCUAAGGUCCCAAAAUAUAUGUUAAGUGGAAAAGGAUGUGGCGUUGCCCAGACAACUAGGAUGUUGGCUUAGAAGCAGCCAUCAUUUAAAGAGUGCGUAAUAGCUCACUAGUCGAGUGACACUGCGCCGAAAAUGUACCGGGGCUAAACAUAUUACCGAAGCUGUGGAUUGUCCUUUGGACAAUGGUAGGAGAGCGUUCUAAGGGCGUUGAAGCAUGAUCGCAAGGACAUGUGGAGCGCUUAGAAGUGAGAAUGCCGGUGUGAGUAGCGAAAGACGGGUGAGAAUCCCGUCCACCGAUUGACUAAGGUUUCCAGAGGAAGGCUCGUCCGCUCUGGGUUAGUCGGGUCCUAAGCUGAGGCCGACAGGCGUAGGCGAUGGAUAACAGGUUGAUAUUCCUGUACCACCUAUAAUCGUUUUAAUCGAUGGGGGGACGCAGUAGGAUAGGCGAAGCGUACGAUUGGAUUGUACGUCUAAGCAGUGAGAUUGAGUGUUAGGCAAAUCCGGCACUCUUAAGAUUGAGCUGUGAUGGGGAGAGGAAAUUGUUUCCUCGAGUCGUUGAUUUCACACUGCCGAGAAAAGCCUCUAGAUAGAGAUUAGGUGCCCGUACCGCAAACCGACACAGGUAGUCAAGAUGAGAAUUCUAAGGUGAGCGAGCGAACUCUCGUUAAGGAACUCGGCAAAAUGACCCCGUAACUUCGGGAGAAGGGGUGCUCUUUAGGGUGCAAGCCCAGAAGAGCCGCAGUGAAUAGGCCCAAGCGACUGUUUAUCAAAAACACAGGUCUCUGCUAAACCGUAAGGUGAUGUAUAGGGGCUGACGCCUGCCCGGUGCUGGAAGGUUAAGAGGAGUGGUUAGCUUCUGCGAAGCUACGAAUCGAAGCCCCAGUAAACGGCGGCCGUAACUAUAACGGUCCUAAGGUAGCGAAAUUCCUUGUCGGGUAAGUUCCGACCCGCACGAAAGGCGUAACGAUUUGGGCACUGUCUCAACGAGAGACUCGGUGAAAUCAUAGUACCUGUGAAGAUGCAGGUUACCCGCGACAGGACGGAAAGACCCCGUGGAGCUUUACUGUAGCCUGAUAUUGAAAUUCGGCACAGCUUGUACAGGAUAGGUAGGAGCCUUUGAAACGUGAGCGCUAGCUUACGUGGAGGCGUUGGUGGGAUACUACCCUAGCUGUGUUGGCUUUCUAACCCGCACCACUUAUCGUGGUGGGAGACAGUGUCAGGCGGGCAGUUUGACUGGGGCGGUCGCCUCCUAAAAGGUAACGGAGGCGCUCAAAGGUUCCCUCAGAAUGGUUGGAAAUCAUUCAUAGAGUGUAAAGGCAUAAGGGAGCUUGACUGCGAGACCUACAAGUCGAGCAGGGUCGAAAGACGGACUUAGUGAUCCGGUGGUUCCGCAUGGAAGGGCCAUCGCUCAACGGAUAAAAGCUACCCCGGGGAUAACAGGCUUAUCUCCCCCAAGAGUUCACAUCGACGGGGAGGUUUGGCACCUCGAUGUCGGCUCAUCGCAUCCUGGGGCUGUAGUCGGUCCCAAGGGUUGGGCUGUUCGCCCAUUAAAGCGGUACGCGAGCUGGGUUCAGAACGUCGUGAGACAGUUCGGUCCCUAUCCGUCGUGGGCGUAGGAAAUUUGAGAGGAGCUGUCCUUAGUACGAGAGGACCGGGAUGGACAUACCUCUGGUGUACCAGUUGUCGUGCCAACGGCAUAGCUGGGUAGCUAUGUAUGGACGGGAUAAGUGCUGAAAGCAUCUAAGCAUGAAGCCCCCCUCAAGAUGAGAUUUCCCAACUUCGGUUAUAAGAUCCCUCAGAGAUGAUGAGGUUAAUAGGUUCGAGGUGGAAGCGUGGUGACACGUGGAGCUGACGAAUACUAAUCGAUCGAAGACUUAAUCAA